ACGCGUGGAACCUUACCAGGUCUUGACAUCCCAUUGACCGCUAUGGAGACAUAGCUUUCCCUUCGGGGACAGUGGUGACAGGUGGUGCAUGGUUGUCGUCAGCUCGUGUCGUGAGAUGUUGGGUUAAGUCCCGCAACGAGCGCAACCCUUGUUCUUAGUUGCCAUCAUUUAGUUGGGCACUCUAAGGAGACUGCCGGUGACAAACCGGAGGAAGGUGGGGAUGACGUCAAAUCAUCAUGCCCCUUAUGACCUGGGCUACACACGUGCUACAAUGGACGGUACAAACGGUUGCCAACCCGCGAGGGGGAGCUAAUCCGAUAAAACCGUUCUCAGUUCGGAUUGUAGGCUGCAACUCGCCUACAUGAAGCCGGAAUCGCUAGUAAUCGCGGAUCAGCAUGCCGCGGUGAAUACGUUCCCGGGCCUUGCACACACCGCCCGU
rnacentral:rRNA from 1 species